rnacentral:rRNA from 1 species
UAGCGGCGAGCGAACGGGGAGCAGCCCAGAGCCUGAAUCAGUGUGUGUGUUAGUGGAAGCGUCUGGAAAGGCGCGCGAUACAGGGUGACAGCCCCGUACACAAAAAUGCACAUGCUGUGAGCUCGAUGAGUAGGGCGGGACACGUGGUAUCCUGUCUGAAUAUGGGGGGACCAUCCUCCAAGGCUAAAUACUCCUGACUGACCGAUAGUGAACCAGUACCGUGAGGGAAAGGCGAAAAGAACCCCGGCGAGGGGAGUGAAAAAGAACCUGAAACCGUGUACGUACAAGCAGUGGGAGCACGCUUAGGCGUGUGACUGCGUACCUUUUGUAUAAUGGGUCAGCGACUUAUAUUCUGUAGCAAGGUUAACCGAAUAGGGGAGCCGAAGGGAAACCGAGUCUUAACUGGGCGUUAAGUUGCAGGGUAUAGACCCGAAACCCGGUGAUCUAGCCAUGGGCAGGUUGAAGGUUGGGUAACACUAACUGGAGGACCGAACCGACUAAUGUUGAAAAAUUAGCGGAUGACUUGUGGCUGGGGGUGAAAGGCCAAUCAAACCGGGAGAUAGCUGGUUCUCCCCGAAAGCUAUUUAGGUAGCGCCUCGUGAAUUCAUCUCCGGGGGUAGAGCACUGUUUCGGCAAGGGGGUCAUCCCGACUUACCAACCCGAUGCAAACUGCGAAUACCGGAGAAUGUUAUCACGGGAGACACACGGCGGGUGCUAACGUCCGUCGUGAAGAGGGAAACAACCCAGACCGCCAGCUAAGGUCCCAAAGUCAUGGUUAAGUGGGAAACGAUGUGGGAAGGCCCAGACAGCCAGGAUGUUGGCUUAGAAGCAGCCAUCAUUUAAAGAAAGCGUAAUAGCUCACUGGUCGAGUCGGCCUGCGCGGAAGAUGUAACGGGGCUAAACCAUGCACCGAAGCUGCGGCAGCGACGCUGAUGCGUUGUUGGGUAGGGGAGCGUUCUGUAAGCCUGUGAAGGUGUACUGUGAGGUAUGCUGGAGGUAUCAGAAGUGCGAAUGCUGACAUAAGUAACGAUAAAGCGGGUGAAAAGCCCGCUCGCCGGAAGACCAAGGGUUCCUGUCCAACGUUAAUCGGGGCAGGGUGAGUCGACCCCUAAGGCGAGGCCGAAAGGCGUAGUCGAUGGGAAACAGGUUAAUAUUCCUGUACUUGGUGUUACUGCGAAGGGGGGACGGAGAAGGCUAUGUUGGCCGGGCGACGGUUGUCCCGGUUUAAGCGUGUAGGCUGGUUUUCCAGGCAAAUCCGGAAAAUCAAGGCUGAGGCGUGAUGACGAGGCACUACGGUGCUGAAGCAACAAAUGCCCUGCUUCCAGGAAAAGCCUCUAAGCAUCAGGUAACAUCAAAUCGUACCCCAAACCGACACAGGUGGUCAGGUAGAGAAUACCAAGGCGCUUGAGAGAACUCGGGUGAAGGAACUAGGCAAAAUGGUGCCGUAACUUCGGGAGAAGGCACGCUGAUAUGUAGGUGAAGUCCCUUGCGGAUGGAGCUGAAAUCAGUCGAAGAUACCAGCUGGCUGCAACUGUUUAUUAAAAACACAGCACUGUGCAAACACGAAAGUGGACGUAUACGGUGUGACGCCUGCCCGGUGCCGGAAGGUUAAUUGAUGGGGUCAGCGCAAGCGAAGCUCUUGAUCGAAGCCCCGGUAAACGGCGGCCGUAACUAUAACGGUCCUAAGGUAGCGAAAUUCCUUGUCGGGUAAGUUCCGACCUGCACGAAUGGCGUAAUGAUGGCCAGGCUGUCUCCACCCGAGACUCAGUGAAAUUGAACUCGCUGUGAAGAUGCAGUGUACCCGCGGCAAGACGGAAAGACCCCGUGAACCUUUACUAUAGCUUGACACUGAACAUUGAGCCUUGAUGUGUAGGAUAGGUGGGAGGCUUUGAAGUGUGGACGCCAGUCUGCAUGGAGCCGACCUUGAAAUACCACCCUUUAAUGUUUGAUGUUCUAACGUUGACCCGUAAUCCGGGUUGCGGACAGUGUCUGGUGGGUAGUUUGACUGGGGCGGUCUCCUCCUAAAGAGUAACGGAGGAGCACGAAGGUUGGCUAAUCCUGGUCGGACAUCAGGAGGUUAGUGCAAUGGCAUAAGCCAGCUUGACUGCGAGCGUGACGGCGCGAGCAGGUGCGAAAGCAGGUCAUAGUGAUCCGGUGGUUCUGAAUGGAAGGGCCAUCGCUCAACGGAUAAAAGGUACUCCGGGGAUAACAGGCUGAUACCGCCCAAGAGUUCAUAUCGACGGCGGUGUUUGGCACCUCGAUGUCGGCUCAUCACAUCCUGGGGCUGAAGUAGGUCCCAAGGGUAUGGCUGUUCGCCAUUUAAAGUGGUACGCGAGCUGGGUUUAGAACGUCGUGAGACAGUUCGGUCCCUAUCUGCCGUGGGCGCUGGAGAACUGAGGGGGGCUGCUCCUAGUACGAGAGGACCGGAGUGGACGCAUCACUGGUGUUCGGGUUGUCAUGCCAAUGGCACUGCCCGGUAGCUAAAUGCGGAAGAGAUAAGUGCUGAAAGCAUCUAAGCACGAAACUUGCCCCGAGAUGAGUUCUCCCUGACUCCUUGAG